UUGAACGAUUUUUUAAAGAUAUAUACUACUAUAAAAAAUCCUAAGUAAUUAAAUAAAUUUCCCCUAAAAACAAAUAAGGUUACGAAUACUCUCAAUACUAGCAGUACUCAGCGCUGAAAUUAACUUCUGAUAACCGCCGCGGCUAUCUAGAGCACUUUCUUCCUCCACGGCCGGGGGUCACUGUCUGUCCCUGCGCGAUUGCCGGUCACUGUUGCUCACGGCGCAGCCGCUUUCCCCUACCUUAGUGGCUAUUUCUCUGUCAAGUCAGUUACUCUCUUGGACGCCUUAACUCCCCCGCCCCAUUCUCUUGGCGCUGCGAUUGAAGCUCGCCUCCGUCAGGCCGUUGUUCGAAAAUCAUUGCGAUAGAGCUUUGUGCCACUGCCACCGUGCCGUCAUCGACGUCAACGUGCUCCGCCUCCGUCGUUGACAUUGUUGCUGCCACUGUGUCCUGUUGUCUCCCCCUUCGUUCUUAUAAGAAUCUGGAAUAGUGAAAUGCUCUUGCAGAAAGAAAUUGCCUGUUUAUUGAAGUUUUCAACUUUUGGAUGCAUUUUCAUUCCCUGAUAUGUAGUGGUGAAGGCAAAGAAGACAAUAUUGGACAUAUUGAUUUAUGCAUCACAUUUUGAAGGAACGAAGGAGGAACAAGUGUUAACUCAUUUGAAUGUUAGGAUUGAACUUAUUUGGUAGUGGAUCCACACAUUUUAGUUUUAGUUAUUGUUAGAAUUUGGUCGAAUCUUUAAGUUGUAAUGAAUAUUGAAAUUUUAUAAUGAUUAUGUUAUAAAUGAAAAUGAUUUUCUCA